UACGUAGGGGGCAAGCGUUAUCCGGAUUUACUGGGUGUAAAGGGAGCGUAGACGGCUUUGCAAGCCAGAUGUGAAAGCCCGGGGCUCAACCCCGGGACUGCAUUUGGAACUGUGUGGCUAGAGUGUCGGAGAGGCAGGCGGAAUUCCUAGUGUAGCGGUGAAAUGCGUAGAUAUUAGGAGGAACACCAGUGGCGAAGGCGGCCUGCUGGACGAUGACUGACGUUGGGGCUCGAAAGCGUGGGGAGCAAACAGG
rnacentral:rRNA from 1 species